rnacentral:sRNA from 1 species
UUUGUUCUUACAUAGAUUGUUAAAUAUUUUUAAUUUAACCAAUCAUACACUUUUAUGCAUAUUAAUCGAUUUUCCAAUAUGUUUGCCGCCUUCUUUGUCUAAAUAGAUUCCAUCUUCUCUUGCUCUCCAGUCCCAUAUACCUCCUUCAUCCAUAAAACCAGAAAGCUUGAAUGCUGUAAAUUUCUGAUAAUGUUUAUAGUUAGGUCCUUGUUCCAAAUGACACAUAAAACGCGUCGUACGCCAAAAAUUAAUCAUAAAAUUGAUUUCAACAUGUUUGCCGAUUGGUAUUGUUUUUGGACCAAAUUUGUCAUCUUUGGAAUAACAUCCAAUCCUGAGAAGUUUAUUGAAUUUGAGUUCGUUGGUGAUCCUGAUUCCAGAGCCGAAUACAUGGUCAAGCAUGCAAAAACUAAAAACGAAUAAAAAAGACUAAACAGUUUUUCAUUUUUUUUGGGUAGAUAUUUAGAUUUUUGCUUUGUUAUUGGCUUUUGUGUUUCAGAUUUUAUAUAUGCACAC